rnacentral:rRNA from 1 species
GCCAGACUCCUACGGGAGGCAGCAGUGGGGGAUAUUGCACAAUGGGGGGAACCCUGAUGCAGCGACGCCGCGUGGGUGAAGGAGCGUUUCGGCGCGUAAAGCCCUCUCGGCAGGGAAGAAGGAGGACGGUACCUGACUAAGAAGCCCCGGCUAACUACGUGCCAGCAGCCGCGGUAAUACGUAGGGGGCAAGCGUUAUCCGGAUUUACUGGGUGUAAAGGGGGCGCAGACGGCAGCGCAAGCCAGGAGUGAAAGCCCGGGGCCCAACCCCGGGACUGCUCUUGGAACUGCGCGGCUGGAGUGCAGGAGGGGCAGGCGGAAUUCCUGGUGUAGCGGUGAAAUGCGUAGAUAUCAGGAGGAACACCGGUGGCGAAGGCGGCCUGCUGGACUGCGACUGACGUUGAGGCCCGAAAGCGUGGGGAGCAAACAGGAUUAGAUACCCCGGUAUA